UGACAUCUGCGAGGCUGGCUGGCCUUCCUCUGACUCAGGCUUGCUCUCGCUGCCCUUUGCCUGGGUUGAUUGGAGCCAUGUGCGAAAUCAGCCUUCUGCAAACCAGGCACUGAGAACGCCUGGAAAGCGAGGAGGGCCCUGCAGAGACUGUUUCCUGACGCUUCCAGCCUCUGCAGGCCUCAGAUGGUGACCGGCAUCUGGUGGACCCAGGCCCUGCAAACCGACCACAGAAAAGGUGUCUCCAUUUCAGCAGUUCUCAGCUCUGACCGGUGAGGCUCCUAAAACCAAUGAGGGUAUAACUCAGCCGUAAUAAAAGCAUGAAAUAAUGCCAUUGGCAGCAGCAUGGAUGGACCUAGUCGAUGAUCCUUCGAAGUGAAGUAUGCAUAGACGGGAACACCCAGUUGAUUCUGAUGAAAUUCUCGAACAGAGGCCUGGCCCCCAGCCCUGACUCUCGAAGUCAGACUGUCCCCCGGGGGUGGGCCCAGCCCUGCAGGUAAGUCUGAAGUCCAGCCAGCCUUGGUGCCAUGG